GCUGGUGGUUCAGUGGUAGAAUUCUUACCUUCCAUGUGGGAGAACUGGGUUCAACUCCUGGCCAAUGCG
rnacentral:tRNA from 1 species